UAGGGAAUCUUCGGCAAUGGACGAAAGUCUGACCGAGCAACGCCGCGUGAGUGAAGAAGGUUUUCGGAUCGUAAAACUCUGGUUGGUAGAGAAGAACGUUGGUGAGAGUGGAAAGCUCAUCAAGUGACGGUAACUACCCAAGAAAGGGACGGCUAACUACGUGCCAC
rnacentral:rRNA from 1 species